rnacentral:rRNA from 1 species
CUCGGAGUUUGAUCCUGGCUCAGGAUGAACGCUAGCGGCAGGCUUAACACAUGCAAGUCGAGGGGUAUAGUUCUUCGGAGCUAGAGACCGGCGCACGGGUGCGUAACGCGUAUGCAAUCGUACCUUUUACAGAGGGAUAGCCCAGAGAAAUUUGGAUUAAUACCUCAUAGUAUGUGAGAAUCGCAUGGUUUUCACAUUAAAGUUCCAACGGUAAAAGAUGAGCAUGCGU